ensembl:misc_RNA Metazoa_SRP Metazoan signal recognition particle RNA
GCUGGGCGUGGUGGCGCGCACCUGUAGUCCCAGCUACUUGGGAGGCUGAGGCAGAAGGAUCACUUGAACCCAGGAGCCGAGAUUGUGCCACUGUGCUCCAGCCUGGGUGACAGAGUGAGACUCUGUCUCAA